UGUUCUACUGCGCGUUAUCUCCUUCAUACACGUAGAAUUAAAGUAUGCAAAAUGUGCAUUUAACCAUUUUUUUAAAUUUGUAACUUUUUUUUAUUCUAAAUUUUAAAGCAUAUUCAAAUCUUUCAAGCAUCCAUACAUCCUAUGAUUUCACAAAUCAGUAAAAAAAUAAUCGACAAAACAAUAUAAUGUACUGCAGAAACUGCAGUGGCGAGUAUGUCCAUGAAACAGUGAAUUUUAAUAAACUGUGUAAGCCAAGAAGAACAACCAUGCCAAAUACAGGCCAUGUAAUCCAUUUCAAGCCUUCGCCUGCGUUUAAUGGGCCUACAAUUCCGACGAAACAGAUGGAACCGAUAAAUUGCUGCCGGGAGUUGGGGAGCCUUUGGCCGCAAUUCGAUCCACAUGUCCUUAAAUUUGACUAACCAUUAAAAGCAACAGUCUGGCCAGUUUAGUGAUCAUUAAAACUAAUACCGCUCUGAGUUUGGAAAGGAAAAUGUAAUGAUUGUUUUUUUUUUUGUUUGUUUUUUUUAAACUUAUAAGUCAAAGUUAAGGACAAAUAUUUAUUUAAUCAUGGCCAGAGGCUCGCGAGUUUCCUGCAACACUUUAUUGGUUACAUCUGUUUUGUAGGGCUUGUCAUGUCGGUGUGGAAUAAUGAUCCAGGAGAGGCGGAGCUUAAAGCUCUGAAGCCAUGCUUUGAGGAGGGCACAACUGCGAGCAGUCUCUGAAGAUGUGAAUUACCUCCACGUCACACCUGUUCCAGUUUGAAAAAUUACAGCCUGCAACAAAUUCUCAUUAAAAUACCACCUUCUGAUUUAAUCUAUGGCUCAACAAGGAAAUAUAGUUUGGUGCUGGACUGGGCGAUAGUGGACUGACUCCCCGCUGCCGUAUCAAGUUCUUUCGUCCAGAAAGCC